rnacentral:lncRNA from 1 species
CCCUGGUUUAAUAAGGACUUGUUUAUUUUGAGGAAAAAAGGUCCCAAACAUCAGGCUGUUCACAAAAAUAACCCACAGUAUCAACUUUAGAAAACAAAUCUUAAGACUAUAACACUAAUUAUUUUUCUAGAGGAUGCAUUUGACAUGCCAACUCUCAUUCACAAAAAUACAUUGUUACAUUUGUGUUGAACUGCCCCACACAGCACACUAAUGUGGGGGUGUAACACACAUACUUCUAACUCAAAGCUGCUUUCAAGAGCUACUCAACUAAAUGAGAUUGCCUUUGCAGUUAGGGAAGCAACUACUGAACUUAUGUAUGAAUGAAAAGAACUGUACUCCCUGCAUAACAAGAGAUUAUUUUGGAGACAGUUGAUAAAAACCAUACAUCAUUUUUAUUGUUAAGUCAUAAAGAGGUAUCAAAAUUAAAAGCAAAAAUUACAGGGUAAGACUUAACAAAACUACUAGGAGCGUCAAAGGAAGUGAAAAUGGGACUAGGCGCGGGGCAAUAUGAAUUAAUUAAUGAACAUGGGAAGGACAAGGAUGGGGAAAACAGUGAGCAUGUGCUGAAGAUACUAGGGGAGAGGAUCUGGUGAAAAAUUUGAUCUUAGACAAGCGCCUAGGUAAAGAAAUAAUGGGAUAAGAUUUCUAAACCCCACUAUGUGCUUAAGAGUCAUCCUCGCCAUUGGCGCUGUCUCUGUCAUCCUCUCCUUCCUCAGCCUCUUUUUCAUCAUCCUUGAUCAACUCCAGCUGGUCAUCCCCCCAUCUUCAUUAUCAUCAUCAUCCAGUAGGUCCCCCUCCUCAGCAGAGUCAUCUGCACCCCCCUCAGACUCCAUCUUCACAUUAGUCUCAUCUUUCUUCACGGAGCUGCUGCUCUGCUCCUCUUCUGACUUAACAUUGUUCAUCUCUACUGCUUGUUUGCUCUGUUCCUUUUCAAUUUUUUCCAGGUUUUCCAGGAAAGAAUCCACUUUUUGUUUUAUCUGGGUCAGCUCCCUCUUAAUGGCCUGAAGGUCAUCUCCUUUCAACUUUCCAGACUUGGAAGAUCCCCGCUGUCCACUCUUAGAAUUGAAGCCACUUAUGCCCCUUUGUGAAGUGUUUCCUGAUACACGCUGACGUUUCGAGGGCACUACAGCCCGAGCAAUAGGAGGAGGAGGAGGUACACGUGCUGGGUAACUGUACAUCCUAUCAUAAUAGUCCCGUUGAAAGUCACAAUCCAAGUCAAAAGAGGAGCCGUACAUCUCCGCUGCAGAUCGUUUCACACCUGCUUUUCCUCGGUUCACUUUUGGCUCUGCAGCCAGGUUAAUAUCUAAAACCUGGCCAGCAAUCAUUCUGCCAUCCUCUCCUGCUACAGCAGCCCGGGCAUUUCUCUCAUUAACAUACUGAAAGAAGGCAAAGCCCUUAUGAACAGAGCAGCCCACAAUUUUGCCAUACUUCGAAAAGAUUGCCUCCACAUCAGAUUUCUUGACCACAAGAGUGUUGAGAUUCCCAAUGAAUACACGGGAGUUCAUGGAACGAGGAUCUGUCUUGUUGGUAACGUUGCUGGCCAUUGUGUUUGAUGCAGAAAUUCCGCUGAAAUGAUAGUUAAGGAAUCAUAAAGGUAUAAUUCCACAAAGACAAAGAAAAAAGAAAAAAGGUCUAUCAGUGGGUGAGAAAGUUCACAUUUCCUGAUGAUAUAAAGUAGAUGGAGGUGUAGCAAUUGACUUUGCACAACAGAAGGGGCCAGAAUAAGUUAUCCUGAUGAGAAGAAAGACAAUACACCCUGAAAAUCCUAGAAAGCAUUAACCCUUGAAGGCAUCAAGUACCGGAAGACAGGGAAUCUAGCGCUUCAGGAUUAUGUGCACUCUUGCUAAUCCAAGUGUUAUCCCUGAACCAGCAGCAUCAGCAUCACCAGAGAACUUGCUGGAAAUGCAGAAUAUCAGACUCUACCCCAGACCUACUUAAUCAGAGAAGCCCAGAGAGAUUCAUAUGCACAUUAAAGUUGGAGAAGUCCCAUACUCAUAUACUAGCAUAAACAGAGUAUCCUCAAACUCAUAACAAAGAAACCUACAAAACAUGAAGUACUGUCCUUUCAAUUUAGGGGCAGAGGAUUGGACAUUUUAUUUUAUUUUUUUAUGGGGGAAUACAGCUAAAACUGAAUUGCUUCAAUAAAGUCUUUGACAAUUUAAAAGCUGAAUGUGUGUGUGUGGCUGGGAAUCUUGUUUUCAUCUGGGAUCAAGAAUUAUUACUAUGUAUAUGGGGAAGUGUUUC